GAGGUAGAUAGGUUGGAGGUGGAAGUGCAGCAAUGCAUGGAGCUGACCAAUACUAAUCGGUCGAGGGCUUAUCCUAUA
rnacentral:rRNA from 1 species